UCUGUAGCUCAGUUGGAUAGAGCAACGGCCUUCUAAGCCGUGGGUCGGGGGUUCAAAUCCCUUCAGG
rnacentral:tRNA from 3 species